rnacentral:RNase_P_RNA from 2 species
GGAGUUGACUAGACAGUCGCCGCUUCGUCUUAAUCCUCGCGAGGACAGAAAAGAACAAGGGGAGGAAAGUCCGGGCUCCAUAGGGCAGGGUGCCAGGUAACGCCUGGGGGGCGAAAGCCCACGACAAGUGCAACAGAGAGAAGACCGCCGAUGGCCUGCGAAAGUAGGAUCAGGUAAGGGUGAAAGGGUGCGGUAAGAGCGUACCGUACGCUUGGUAACAGUGCGUCGCAAGGUAAACUCCACCUGGAGCAAGGCCAAUAAGGGGUUCGCCUGGUACGGCCCGUACUGAACCUGGGUAGGCCGCUUGAGCUAGUGCGUGAGCACUGGCCUAGAUGAAUGACUGUCCACGACAGAACCCGGCUUAACGGUCAACUCCGUUC